UUUUGAAUUUUUUUUUUUUUGUGGUUAUGAUACUUUUGAAGAGUUCUUGCAAAAUCAUAGGUAUAUGUUUUUUAAUAUGUUGAUCACAUUAAAAAAAAAUUAAUGUGAUCCGGCGUAAUAACACGAAACAAGAAUCUGGUGUAUAUCUCUCAAGGGAAUGGGUUGUUAGGCAGGUUCACUAUUCAGUAAGAUCCUCCUUAGCCCCACAUCCACCAGAAAAUAGCCAAGAUCAAAACUGUAUCAACAAGAUUCGUCGCCAUUAUUUAAAUUUCAUUUGUUUUUUCUCAAGGCUUUAAUGCUUCGAACCCACACAGAACUGUCAACAGAUAUUCAUCCAGCCACGUUCUUCGUUCCUGACAGACGCUUAGCAAAGUAAACAGCCCCCCAAAAUUAAGCAAACAUGGAGCGCACAUCUCCUACCUUUUAGCUACCUCUUGUUAAAAGGCAUUGAGCGAACAAGACAUUAGAUUUGGUGCUGCAAACUCUUGUCAACAAAAGAGAGAACCAGGAUAUGGCAAGAAAGGGCAUCUCGGAACUGGUUAGACGAAGUUCGCAGAAACUUUCUCCGGUCAUCUCAUACAAACAUCAUUCUCAAUUCCAAUGCUUGCUCAAGACCUUAAUUAGCAUAGCUUCACCACCUUCAAAGAGAGAACUCACCAUAGAAGGUACAGCAGCAAUCACAAUUCAAGCAAAUUUCAGGGGUCACCUUGUAUCAUGCAAGACGGGCAUUUCAAGCACUCCAGAGCCUGGUGAAAUUGCAAGCGUCAAGCGCUCGUCCGGUUGCAGGUACAGGUUUGAGCAAGGCAGGACAUCUUCAUAUCUAAGGUCUAAACUCAUAUCACUAUACAAUUCAAGGAGAGUGCUCUAAAAUUCCAUACCCCAUGCAACAUUAACACAGUAAUCUCCCAUGUUGACAAAUUUCUUAGCAGAAAUAGUCGAAUUUGUGUAGCAUCUGCAACUAGUUUAAUUAUUACUCGUACCUUCUAUUUGACUUGCGGGUCUAUCUAUGAAUCAUAUUCAUGGUAAAGAGUUGUCCAAACUAUACCCACAACUGUCUACUAAUCACCAAUUAACACAAGGUUCGUUUCCCAA